rnacentral:misc_RNA from 1 species
UGCUCUACUACUGCAGCGGAGGU